CUGAGCUGGGUUUUACAGAGUUACCGCGAGGAUUUCUGUUGUGGGAAAAUACCCAGGAAGUGACUGAGCCCAGCCAGACGUCACUGGAGACAUGCAGAAGAAAAGAUUUUCCCUUGGGAGUUACCCCACAAUGAGUUCUGGGUCUGGUCAAAUCACCCAUUAUUCAAACACAUUGCAGCCUUCCUGUUCUUUAGGAAAUCAAACAGAACUUCAGCAGUAUGCAGUGAGGCCAUUUUAAACAGUGAAAUCACCAACAUAAAGCACAAAUAUUUGAAAACAUGGCCUUAAAUAGACCACAAAAAGGAAACUUGUUAACAGUAGAAGAACUGAAACAAGAAGGCACAGCAUCACCCUGUUUGACCCCAGCUGGGAACACAUCUAUCAGAUGACUCAAAUGUUUUCUUGCUCUGUGCAUGUCUGCAAAUGACCAUGAAAGCCACCUAUACUGAUUUUGGGGUUACAAAAUCUGUCAUAUGAGGACCUAAUGCCUAGAGUCAUUGAUGCCAUGUUGUGUUUAAGAGGAGGCAAUGAAGAAAAUUGCAAAGAUGCCAAGCUUGUAUUCCGAUAUCAAUGAGUUGUUUCAUGUAAUUUGGUACCAACU
rnacentral:lncRNA from 1 species